rnacentral:snRNA from 1 species
GUCCUAGCUUCGGUAGUACAUAUACAAAAAUUGGCAUGAUAUAUAGAAGAUUAGCAUGGCCCCUGCUUCAGGAUUACACACAGAUUCAUGAGGCAUACCAUAUUUUU